CUCCAGCCAAAUUUCAUCUCACUUGAAUUGAAGGUGUUAAUAACAGAGAACUACAAAAUCUUUCUCGCAGAAAUCAGCACACAUAUUCUUACCACUCCUGACCUGGUGCUUUAUGGGAAAUCAUUUCUAUUGGUGAUGAAUAGGUUGCUCUUAUGUGUUACCUUCGCUCAGAUACAUCCCGUUUGAAGUCCUGGCUUCCAAAGGACCGUUUCAGGCCAUAGGAUAACAAAGCAUAUUCCACGAAGAGGCGGGCUUGUAAGGAGAAGAUUUCAUUUAUUUAUGUGAGAGAGAGGGAGAGCACAGAGGAAGAGUGAGAGGGAG